ensembl:lncRNA PTPRG-AS1 PTPRG antisense RNA 1
UUAUUUGGGUAAGCAAAUUCAAAGAAAAGGGUUAAAAGCGACUGGGUGUUGGGGAGCAGCUUUUGGGAGCGUCCUUGAGCAAAGCGCCACGCCCCGCGAGGGUAAGCGAUCUACGCCCUACCCCACCGGAGAGCUUCUGGGCGCGUCCCCUUCUCCGGGAGACCUAAGGAGGGCAACCACCGCUCCCAAUCUCCCUUGGCGGCGAGAACUGGAGGGUGCACCCACCACUAGAAUUUGAACAUCCUAAGAACAGGUAUUUUUGUCUCUGCUUUGCUGAUGUAUCCUCAGCAACCGGAACUGCCUGACAUCUGAUCCUUUCUGUGAGACACCAGGCUGUUGAGGAAGAAUCUAUGGCAACAUUGUAUCUAUUAAUAUACAGCUUCUGUAUUUAUCAGGCCCAGUUCUGGUGAUGAUUUCACUUUUGACAGAAGCUGUCCCUCAAAAGCAAACAUGCAAUAGAAGAAACAGAUCUCAAUGCCAUCCAUCUGCAGUUGUGACAAGCAAAAAAGUCUCCAGACAUGGCCAAAUGUCCCCUGGGGGGCAAAAUCACCCCCAAUUGAGAACUACUGCUCUAAACUAUGGAGUCUCACUCUGUCACCCAGGAUGGAGUACAGUGGCGUGAUCUCGGCUCACUGCAAGCUCCGCCUCCUGGGUUCAUGCCAUUCUCCUGCCUUAGCCUCCCGAGUAGCUGGGACUACAGGCGCCUGCCACCACGCCCGGCUAAUUUUUGUAUUUUUAGUAGAGACAGGGUUUCACCGCAUUAGCCAGGAUGGUCUCGAUCUCCUGACCUCGUGAUCCGCCCGCCUCAGCCUCCCAAAGUGCUGGGAUUACAGGCGUGAGUCACUGUGCCCAGCCAAGUUUAGUAUUUUUUGUAGAGACAGAGUUUCACCAUGUUGGCCAGGCUGGUCUUGCACUCAUGGCCUCAAGUGAUCCACCUGCCUCGGCCUCCGAAAGUGCUGGGAUUACAGGCGUAAGCCACUGUGCCUGGCCUUAAAUGGGUAAAUUUCAUAUGGUAUAUGAAUUAUAUUUCACUAAAACUUUAAGAAAACAUUAUACAGUACUGUUCAAAUUUUAAGUGGUCCAAUUUAAAUGCACUAUUGUAUACAAUUCUAUGUAAUGUCCUUACCAUGGUAUAUGUUAACUAUAAAUAUCUAUGCCCCUACCCUUAGUAUCAAAGCAUAUAUUAUAUGCCAGUGAGCCAAGCCCCACAUGUCUGUGAAAUGUGGUCUUCUAGCCAUAGAAGUAGCUUGUGCUCCUAGGGUAUUCCUUGAGGCUCUGUAUGAAGAAUGUCCAUUUGUUUGAGUCCCUAACCUACAGAAUAUUCCUGACCAUGGAAAUGUGAUAGAUAGGAGUAAGCACAUGGACCAAAAGGCCUGGAGGCUCAUCAUUUAAGGUACAAGCCAAUUAUGUAGUCUUUGAAAGAAUGCUUUGAAAUUCAGCUUGCUUGAUUCAAUUCCCAAUAUUUUCAUUUGUAUUAAAAGAUUUGGCCCUUACAGGUUAAAAACAAUGUCAGUGUAACCAAGUGACAUUCAAAUUUUGGCUCCCAACAUGUGAUAUGACAUCACUUCAUGUGAAAAUAGCGAAGCUCCAAACAUUUUCUUUCAGUCACCUUAUUAAGCUCGCUGAGCCCUGACAGCCUAAUGAAAGGCUAAGGGGGAAGAAAAUGUCCCAACUUCUACACUGUUGAAGAUGGGCUAAUGAGAGGUUAGCUUGCAAGAAUCAUUCUUUCUUGGCAUCCUGCUUCUGACUGCUUGGCUUUCAGCUUAUACCCAGCAUGAAAAUUUAAUUUCCUCGCAGUUGAAGGUAGUUUAAAGCUUAUUACUCACAUGCUAAAAUGUUGAUGUAUCUGUUUUUGUGCUUGUUUUCUGGAUGAUUGGAAUGCUCUGCAGUGAUGUUCAUAUCAGCAGUACAGCGCUGGACUUCCUAGUGAAGAAAACAGCAAGAUUAUAGACACAGUUUAGAAACAAAGGAACACCAUAUACAUUUAAAGGCAUAAAGUAUUUACUCACUCCCUGGCCACAGCCACCGUUACCUUCUCAAUCCCAACUUCGGAUAUAAUUAUUGAUAUAUUUAUAACGAGUUUAUGAAGAAUGUGAAAAAGGUAUAAAGAUUUCAUUAUUUACUAUUUCAUCAAUCAUCUACUUUUUUCUAGUUUUUGACCUAGUCCCUGAGAUGUAAAACAAUAUCUCUUUUUGAAUACAUCAUAGUCUAUGGGUGAGAAAAAUAUUCAAAAAGAUAGUCAAACAUGAUGAAUACAAAAGAGGCCUGAGAAAGCUCUGAUGGGAGCACAGAACAGAGGAAGGCUUUAGACAGGUGAAAAAAUUUACCUAAGUCUUAAAGGAAGAAAGGGAAUUUCUAAGAAGUAUAAUCUCUACCAUGAUUUGCAAUAUGCUUACAGGCCUUAUAGCCUCAUUUUAUAAUUGUGAGGGUGCAUUGACUCUAAAGACUCAGUGCUGAAAUAACCCUAAUAACAGCCCAACUAAUGGUCAUAUCUCAUAUAUACAGUCUUGACAAAUUAUUUGUGAACUCUAGUAUUUUAAAAGUUAUCCUUCUUUGGAAAAAUAGCAGUAGCAGAAAUAACACUCUUAUCCUACCUUGGCCGUGGAUUUAAACGUCAUCCAUUAGCCUAAUACAACGUUGCUGAAAAGCCAAAUUUUUCUACACUAUAUGCUUCAAACCCAAGAAAGUACUGGAGCUGACUAAUAAGGGAAGUCAUUAGCAGUACACAGCUGCUACAAAGAGCCUGAACAAAGUAACACAAAAUUAUCAGGAGAAAUGUUUUACACAGAACAGAUGUAGCAGAGUUUAGAAGCAUGCAGACUUUUUUUUUCCACAAAGGAGUUGCCUAGUAAUUAUGCAUGUUUUCCAUAGUAUUU